rnacentral:rRNA from 1 species
UACGUAGGGUCCGAGCGUUGUCCGGAAUUACUGGGCGUAAAGAGCUCGUAGGUGGUUUGUCGCGUUGUUCGUGAAAACUCACAGCUUAACUGUGGGCGUGCGGGCGAUACGGGCAGACUUGAGUACUGCAGGGGAGACUGGAAUUCCUGGUGUAGCGGUGGAAUGCGCAGAUAUCAGGAGGAACACCGGUGGCGAAGGCGGGUCUCUGGGCCAUUACUGACGCUGAGGAGCGAAAGCGUGGGGAGCGAACAGG